rnacentral:lncRNA from 1 species
AGUGCUCCCCAAGGACCCAGUGCGAAGAAGCCUCGGACCCCACAGCUGCCGUCCGCGACCCCUAACUCCACUCUGCAGCGAAUAAAUUAACAUCUUGGGCCUUUCAUUUACAGGCAUACCUUCUGCAAGGGUUUUCUUUUUCUUUUCUUUUUUCUUUUCUGUUUUUGAUCUUUUGUGUGUUUGUUUUCAUUUGGAUACCUCUACGUGUUUUUCUUGAUUUUUUUUUCUUUGCAUUGUCCGCUGCAACAUGGUAGAAAAGGGCAGCGUUAGGUUUGAAUACUGGCUCUUGCAGUCACCAUCAGCAGCAGGGCCUCGGCCGAAUCUCUCCAUCUUUGAACCCUAUUGUGCAUCAUAUAAAACGGGCAUAAUAAUACCGUUACUCUGAGGACUAAAUGAUACAUUGCACAUGAACUGAAUGGAACAUCAGAAGCUCAGAAAGAAAAUAGUUAUGGUAUCACUGUUCUUUCUUUUCCUUUGAGUGUUGCUUCGUAUUUCUUUACUUUCAGGCUGUCUUCCCUGAUCUCAUUUGUUCAUUUUUGUCCGUUCGGUGACCUUUCUGCCCAUACUUGACAUUUUCCUUUGCUCUCUGUCCCUUUUACCCUGUAAGUCACCACUCUCCACGUGCCAUGUGCCACUUCCUUUUCAUGGGACACAUUGCUGGGAUCUGUUUACUGGGUUUGAACCAAAGGAUUAGUUACUUUUGGUGGAGUGGCAGUGUAUUAGCGAAACAGAACUAAUAGGUGUGAACCCAGAAGGCAGGACAACUCAAAGCGGGGAGGGGGCUUCCAGGUCAUAGGUAGAUAAGACACAAAUGGUUGCAUUGAGUUGCUGAUUAGCCUCUCCGGAAGGAGGCAAUCAGAUAUGCAUUUAUCUCAGUGAGCAGAGAGGUGACUUUGAAUAGAAGGGGAGGCAGGUUUGCCCUAAGCAGUUCCCAGCAUGAAUUUUCCCUUUAGUGAUUUUGGGGGCCCCAAAUCACUUUCCUUUCACACGGGG